UAAAAACUAAACACCGGUAAGAACACACACCUCUUCGCUCUUUACACCCCCCAACAACUGCGGCCCAGGGUAACUGAUUCUCUUUAAAAUUGAAAACUCAGUCUUCGCUUUACAAUUUUACAACCAACAGUCCCUUAAUUCCCUUCUCUUCUUAUUUCGCUCGCUUACAACUGGUUAUUGCGUCUAUUACCGGAAGCAAAGAGCCUCCAUCUCUUCCCCUUUUUCUGAUUCUGUUUGAUUCUUAUUUCCCUCAAGGCCGCUUGCAAUUUUGUUAAUCCUUGACCAAUUUAUGCAAGGAGUUACAGGUACCCAUGUGAAAUAUCUUUUUCUAGGCGUCAAGCAGUUCAGAUCUUUUACGGCACAUGAUUGACAUAUGAAAUUUCAUUCAUAUGUGAUGAAGAAUGUAGUGGUUCUUCUAAUAUCAUCCAUCUGAAAAGUGAAAAGGAAAGAAGAGGUUUUAGGCUUUUAGCAAGAGCUCAUAUUGUUAUAGAGGAGAGGAAUUAACCAUCAUCCUUCUUCAUCAUUCAUUAUGACAAUUGCAAAUGAAAUCCAUCUAUAAAAUUUGCAUUUAAGGAAGAAAUGACGAAGAUGAAAAGUACCAUAACUUUCAAAGACCCAUAUCAUCUAUAUUCCAACCGAUCUCUCACCACUUCGGCACCCGAUAUAUUUGUUAGUUUUAGAGUAGGAAAAGGAAACAUGAGUUUGAUACAUGAGGACUAAUUCGAGUUGAUGGUAAUUUUAUUUAUCAAGUUUAUGACAAAAUUAUGUAUUUGUUAGUUCAAUGGGAUUGUGGUUCACUUGCUUCGCUGUCUAGCAGAUAUUGUUUUUUCUAUGUGGCGAAUUCGAGAAUUGCACGGAGAAAAAAAAAAACCCAAAAAAUUGCUUUGAAACAGAAAUAGAAGCAAAGUAUGAGAAGAAAAAAAGUUGAAAUGGCUGCUUUAGAAGAGGAGGAGAAUGUUGGAUUGCAACUUCAAGAUUGAUCAUUUGCAGGGCAAUGUAUUACCCAAUUCAUAUAGAACCUGAAUGUGAUUUCUCACAUAACAUGUUACUUUCUGCUGUAAUUAAGCUACAUUGAACCAAUUUAAUGAAUGCACUAGCUUAUUUGCAAAGUGAACGGCUUUUUCAAAAAGAUUAAUUUGUAAGAUCAUCUAU